CCGGCGAUGUCCGAAUGGGGAAACCCAGUGUGAUUCGUCACACUAUCGUUAACUGAAUACAUAGGUUAACGAGGCGAACCGGGGGAACUGAAACAUCUAAGUACCCCGAGGAAAAGAAAUCAACCGAGAUUCCCCCAGUAGCGGCGAGCGAACGGGGAGCAGCCCAGAGUCUGAAUCAGCUUGUGUGUUAGUGGAACGGUCUGGAAAGUCCGACGGUACAGGGUGAUAGUCCCGUACACCAAAAUGCACAGGCUGUGAACUCGAAGAGUAGGGCGGGACACGUGGUAUCCUGUCUGAAUAUGGGGGGACCAUCCUCCAAGGCUAAAUACUCCUGACUGACCGAUAGUGAACCAGUACCGUGAGGGAAAGGCGAAAAGAACCCCGGCGAGGGGAGUGAAAAAGAACCUGAAACCGUGUACGUACAAGCAGUGGGAGCACCUUCGGGUGUGACUGCGUACCUUUUGUAUAAUGGGUCAGCGACUUAUAUUCUGUAGCAAGGUUAACCGUAUAGGGGAGCCGCAGGGAAACCGAGUCUUAACUGGGCGUUAAGUUGCAGGGUAUAGACCCGAAACCCGGUGAUCUAGCCAUGGGCAGGUUGAAGGUUGGGUAACACUAACUGGAGGACCGAACCGACUAAUGUUGAAAAAUUAGCGGAUGACUUGUGGCUGGGGGUGAAAGGCCAAUCAAACCGGGAGAUAGCUGGUUCUCCCCGAAAGCUAUUUAGGUAGCGCCUCGUGAACUCAUCUUCGGGGGUAGAGCACUGUUUCGGCUAGGGGGUCAUCCCGACUUACCAACCCGAUGCAAACUACGAAUACCGAAGAAUGUUAUCACGGGAGACACACGGCGGGUGCUAACGUCCGUCGUGAAGAGGGAAACAACCCAGACCGCCAGCUAAGGUCCCAAAGUCAUGGUUAAGUGGGAAACGAUGUGGGAAGGCACAGACAGCCAGGAUGUUGGCUUAGAAGCAGCCAUCAUUUAAAGAAAGCGUAAUAGCUCACUGGUCGAGUCGGCCUGCGCGGAAGAUGUAACGGGGCUAAACCAUGCACCGAAGCUGCGGCAGCGACACUAUGUGUUGUUGGGUAGGGGAGCGUUCUGUAAGCCUGCGAAGGUGUGCUGUGAGGCAUGCUGGAGGUAUCAGAAGUGCGAAUGCUGACAUAAGUAACGAUAAAGCGGGUGAAAAGCCCGCUCGCCGGAAGACCAAGGGUUCCUGUCCAACGUUAAUCGGGGCAGGGUGAGUCGACCCCUAAGGCGAGGCCGAAAGGCGUAGUCGAUGGGAAACAGGUUAAUAUUCCUGUACUUGGUGUUACUGCGAAGGGGGGACGGAGAAGGCUAUGUUAGCCGGGCGACGGUUGUCCCGGUUUAAGCAUGUAGGCUGGUUGUCCAGGCAAAUCCGGAUAAUCAAGGCUGAGGUGUGAUGACGAGGCACUACGGUGCUGAAGUAACAAAUGCCCUGCUUCCAGGAAAAGCCUCUAAGCAUCAGGUAACAUCAAAUCGUACCCCAAACCGACACAGGUGGUCAGGUAGAGAAUACCAAGGCGCUUGAGAGAACUCGGGUGAAGGAACUAGGCAAAAUGGUGCCGUAACUUCGGGAGAAGGCACGCUGGUGUGUAGGUGAAGUCCCUGCGGAUGGAGCUGAGACCAGUCGAAGAUACCAGCUGGCUGCAACUGUUUAUUAAAAACACAGCACUGUGCAAACACGAAAGUGGACGUAUACGGUGUGACGCCUGCCCGGUGCCGGAAGGUUAAUUGAUGGGGUUAUCCGUAAGGAGAAGCUCUUGAUCGAAGCCCCGGUAAACGGCGGCCGUAACUAUAACGGUCCUAAGGUAGCGAAAUUCCUUGUCGGGUAAGUUCCGACCUGCACGAAUGGCGUAAUGAUGGCCAGGCUGUCUCCACCCGAGACUCAGUGAAAUUGAACUCGCUGUGAAGAUGCAGUGUACCCGCGGCAAGACGGAAAGACCCCGUGAACCUUUACUAUAGCUUGACACUGAACAUUGAGCCUUGAUGUGUAGGAUAGGUGGGAGGCUUUGAAGCGUGGACGCCAGUCUGCGUGGAGCCAACCUUGAAAUACCACCCUUUAAUGUUUGAUGUUCUAACGUUGGCCCCUUACCGGGGUUGCGGACAGUGUCUGGUGGGUAGUUUGACUGGGGCGGUCUCCUCCCAAAGCGUAACGGAGGAGCACGAAGGUUAGCUAAUCCUGGUCGGACAUCAGGAGGUUAGUGCAAUGGCAUAAGCUAGCUUGACUGCGAGCGUGACGGCGCGAGCAGGUGCGAAAGCAGGUCAUAGUGAUCCGGUGGUUCUGAAUGGAAGGGCCAUCGCUCAACGGAUAAAAGGUACUCCGGGGAUAACAGGCUGAUACCGCCCAAGAGUUCAUAUCGACGGCGGUGUUUGGCACCUCGAUGUCGGCUCAUCACAUCCUGGGGCUGAAGUAGGUCCCAAGGGUAUGGCUGUUCGCCAUUUAAAGUGGUACGCGAGCUGGGUUUAGAACGUCGUGAGACAGUUCGGUCCCUAUCUGCCGUGGGCGCUGGAGAAUUGAGGGGGGCUGCUCCUAGUACGAGAGGACCGGAGUGGACGCAUCACUGGUGUUCGGGUUGUCAUGCCAAUGGCACUGCCCGGUAGCUAAAUGCGGAAGAGAUAAGUGCUGAAAGCAUCUAAGCACGAAACUUGCCCCGAGAUGAGUUCUCCCUGAGACUUUAAGUCUCCUGAAGGAACGUUAAAGACGAUGACGUUGAUAGGCCGGGUGUGUAAGCGCAGCGAUGCGUUGAGCUAACCGGUACUAAUGAACCGUGAGGCUUAACCUU
rnacentral:rRNA from 1 species